rnacentral:rRNA from 1 species
GACAUAGGUGGCGAACGUUAUCCGGAAUUAUUGGGCGUAAAGAGCUUGUAGGCGGUUUGUCGCGUCUGCUGUGAAAUUUCGGGGCUCAACCCCGAACUUGCAGUGGGUACGGGCAGACUAGAGUGUGGUAGGGGAGACUGGAAUUCCUGGUGUAGCGGUGAAAUGCGCAGAUAUCAGGAGGAACACCGAUGGCGAAGGCAGGUCUCUGGGCCAUAACUGACGCUGAGAAGCGAAAGCAUGGGGAGCGAACAGG